AACGGGUGAGUAAUACAUCGGAACGUGCCCUGUAGUGGGGGAUAACUAGUCGAAAGACUAGCUAAUACCGCAUACGACCUGAGGGUGAAAGUGGGGGACCGCAAGGCCUCAUGCUAUAGGAGCGGCCGAUGUCUGAUUAGCUAGUUGGUGGGGUAAAGGCCCACCAAGGCGACGAUCAGUAGCUGGUCUGAGAGGACGAUCAGCCACACUGGGACUGAGACACGGCCCAGACUCCUACGGGAGGCAGCAGUGGGGAAUUUUGGACAAUGGGGGCAACCCUGAUCCAGCAAUGCCGCGUGUGUGAAGAAGGCCUUCGGGUUGUAAAGCACUUUUGUCCGGAAAGAAAUCGCACUGGUUAAUACCUGGUGUGGAUGACGGUACCGGAAGAAUAAGGACCGGCUAACUACGUGCCAGCAGCCGCGGUAAUACGUAGGGUCCAAGCGUUAAUCGGAAUUACUGGGCGUAAAGCGUGCGCAGGCGGUUGUGCAAGACCGAUGUGAAAUCCCCGGGCUUAACCUGGGAAUUGCAUUGGUGACUGCACGGCUAGAGUGUGUCAGAGGGAGGUAGAAUUCCACGUGUAGCAGUGAAAUGCGUAGAGAUGUGGAGGAAUACCGAUGGCGAAGGCAGCCUCCUGGGAUAACACUGACGCUCAUGCACGAAAGCGUGGGGAGCAAACAGGAUUAGAUACCCUGGUAGUCCACGCCCUAAACGAUGUCAACUAGUUGUUGGGGAUUCAUUUCCUUAGUAACGUAGCUAACGCGUGAAGUUGACCGCCUGGGGAGUACGGUCGCAAGAUUAAAACUCAAAGGA
rnacentral:rRNA from 1 species